CAAGGACUGAGGGUUAGCUGAGUAGUAUUCUUAGCUUUGUAGAAGAGGCAGGAUUGUCAAGCGGGGAUGCAGCUGUGAAAUGCUCCAAUGUGCUGCCUUCAAGUUGCUACUUUGAAAAAUCAUUAGGAGCCAUGCAAGUCCCUUCCUCUAUUGGAACUAACUGAAUCUUCAGAAAGGUUAAAAGAAAUGGACUGAGCUGGCAUAUUCAUCAAAGCAAUUUACUGAGAAUGCACUUUGACAGACUGCAUUAAGAAUGUUGACUUGUGAAAACAAAGGGUUGCUUUAUAAUGCACAUAAAUUAUAUGCUUUAAAAAAGUGAAGGGUCUGAAUUUUUUAAUGAUCCUCUAGCUAGAGCAGAAUGGAGUUUUGCCUAUUUUUCAUUUUAGCACUUCAAAAGGUCUUCUCAGGAUCCCAUGGCUGACAUAACUCAAGCAGAAAAGAUAGCACGACUGUAUUAUGCUUUUCUACUUGGAUCUAUUAAAAUUAGAUUUAAGUCAACAUAUAUUUAUUAAGUAUCAACCAUGAACCAAAGACUGUGCUGAAUGCUUUUAAGGAUACAAAGAUAAACCAAACAAUGUCAGAAGAAGGUUGAAGGGAAAUAUCUCCUCAAAUAGUAGCCUACCAGGGUAUACUAAAAAAAUGUACCCUCAAAAGAACAAUAUGGUUUCAAAGAAUCAAUUGAUUGUGUUUGGUUGAGGGCUAGUAAAUUAUCUUAUUUAAAACCCAAUUUUGACUUCCAUGUUUCUUGAGGGAUGGAUACUAGAAGAGACAGGAAUCAAGGGAGAAGCGGGAGUCCAGAGGCACUAAGCAGCCUAAGCAAAGGUAAUGUUUAAGGUCUGUUAAGGUGGCUGGUUUGACUUGGUGUCCAAAGUACACAUAGAGGAAGAGGAAGAGGAAGACGCAGGGCUGGAAAGAGUGCAGCUUUGACACAUAAUUGAUGGAAAAUAUGAGGAAGAGAUGAAGAUCUGGUAAGAAAAUGCUAUGCUGAAGGUGAUAUUUAAUAAUGGUUAAUCCUGAAAUGGUG
rnacentral:lncRNA from 10 species